rnacentral:rRNA from 1 species
AGCAGCCGCGGUAAUUCCAGCUCCAAUAGCGUAUAUUAAAGUUGUUGCAGUUAAAAAGCUCGUAGUUGAAUUUCGGGAUCAAUAUGUUGGUCGUGCCUCGGUACGUACUAGCUUAUUGGUUUCUCCUUUCUGAAGAACCAUGAUGUCAUUUAUUUGGUGUCGUGGGGAAUCAGGACUGUUACUUUGAAAAAUUAGAGUGUUUAAAGCAGGCUCACGCUUGAAUACAUUAGCAUGGAAUAAUGAAAUAGGACGUUUGAUUCUAUUUUGUUGGUCUCUAGGAUCGACGUAAUGAUUAAUAGGGAUAGUUGGGGGCAUUAGUAUUCAAUUGUCAGAGGUGAAAUUCUUGGAUUUAUUGAAGACUAACUACUGCGAAAGCAUUUGCCAAGGAUGUUUUCAUUAAUCAAGAACGAAAGUUAGGGGAUCGAAGACGAUCAGAUACCGUCGUAGUCUUAACCAUAAACUAUGCCGACUAGGGAUCGGAUGAUGUUGAUUUUUAAUGUA